UACGUAGGGUGCAAGCGUUGUCCGGAAUUAUUGGGCGUAAAGAGCUCGUAGGCGGUUCGUCGCGUCGGCUGUUAAAUCCCGAGGCUCAACCUCGGGUCUGCAGUCGAUACGGGCGGACUGGAGUACUGCAGGGGAGACUGGAAUUCCUGGUGUAGCGGUGAAAUGCGCAGAUAUCAGGAGGAACACCGGUGGCGAAGGCGGGUCUCUGGGCAGUUACGGACGCGGAGGAGCGAAAGCGUGGGGAGCGAACAGG
rnacentral:rRNA from 1 species